CCUACGGGAGGCAGCAGUGAGGAAUAUUGGUCAAUGGGCGAGAGCCUGAACCAGCCAAGUCGCGUGAGGGAGUACUGCCCUAUGGGUUGUAAACCUCUUUUGUCGGGGAGCAAAAGCCGGACGUGUCCGGCUGUGAGAGUACCCGAAGAAAAAGCAUCGGCUAACUCCGUGCCAGCAGCCGCGGUAAUACGGAGGAUGCGAGCGUUAUCCGGAUUUAUUGGGUUUAAAGGGUGCGCAGGCGGAUUUUUAAGUCAGCGGUCAAAUCGUGGGGCUCAACCCCAUCCAGCCGUUGAAACUGGCGCGCUUGAGUUCAGGCGAGGUAGGCGGAAUUCGUGGUGUAGCGGUGAAAUGCAUAGAUAUCACGAAGAACUCCGAUUGCGAAGGCAGCUUACCAGUCUGCGACUGACGCUCAGGCACGAAAGUGUGGGUAUCGAACAGGAUUAGAUACCCUUGUAGUC
rnacentral:rRNA from 1 species